UUGAACGCUGGCGGAAUGCUUUACACAUGCAAGUCGAACGGCAGCACGGGGGCAACCCUGGUGGCGAGUGGCGAACGGGUGAGUAAUACAUCGGAACGUGCCCAGUCGUGGGGGAUAACGCAGCGAAAGCUGUGCUAAUACCGCAUACGAUCUACGGAUGAAAGCGGGGGACUCGCAAGGGCCUCGCGCGAUUGGAGCGGCCGAUGGCAGAUUAGGUAGUUGGUGGGGUAAAGGCUCACCAAGCCUGCGAUCUGUAGCUGGUCUGAGAGGACGACCAGCCACACUGGGACUGAGACACGGCCCAGACUCCUACGGGAGGCAGCAGUGGGGAAUUUUGGACAAUGGGCGCAAGCCUGAUCCAGCCAUUCCGCGUGCAGGAUGAAGGCCUUCGGGUUGUAAACUGCUUUUGUACGGAACGAAAAGGCUCUGGUGAAUACCUGGGGCUCAUGACGGUACCGUAAGAAUAAGCACCGGCUAACUAC
rnacentral:rRNA from 1 species